GAUGAACGCUGGCGGCGUGCUUAACACAUGCAAGUCGAACGGGAAACCUUUUAUUGAAGCUUCGGCAGAUUUAGCUGGUUUCUAGUGGCGGACGGGUGAGUAACGCGUGGGUAACCUGCCCUAUACAGGGGGAUAACAACCAGAAAUGGUUGCUAAUACCGCAUAAGCGCACAGGGCCGCAUGGUCCGGUGUGAAAAACUCCGGUGGUAUAGGAUGGACCCGCGUUGGAUUAGCCAGUUGGCAGGGUAACGGCCCACCAAAGCGACGAUCCGUAGCCGGCCUGAGAGGAGGACCAGCCAGACGGGGAAUGAGACAAGGUGCAGACGGCGACGGGAGGCAGAAGUGGGGAAUAUUGCACAAGGGGGGAAAGACGGAUGAAGAAAGAUCGAGUGGAUGAAGAAGGCAUGCGGGUCGUAAAGAGCGGUUAGGGGGGAGGAAAAGAGUAAAGUUAAUACAUGGGAGAAUUGACGGUAACGAAAGAAGAAGAACAGGCUAACUUCGUG
rnacentral:rRNA from 1 species